rnacentral:rRNA from 1 species
GACGAACGCUGGCGGCGUGCUUAACACAUGCAAGUCGAGCGGGAACCUCGGCAGGGGUAACCCUUCCGAGGGGAGAGCGGCGAACGGGUGAGUAACACGUGGGCAACCUGCCCCGGACACCGGGAUAACCCAGGGAAACCUGAGCUAAUACCGGAUACUCCGGCACGAUCGCAUGGUCGUGCCGGGAAAAGCUCCGACGGUCCGGGAUGGGCCCGCGGCCUAUCAGCUUGUUGGUGAGGUAACGGCCCACCAAGGCGACGACGGGUAGCUGGUCUGAGAGGACGGCCAGCCACACUGGGACUGAGACACGGCCCAGACUCCUACGGGAGGCAGCAGUGGGGAAUCUUGCGCUAAUGCGCGAAAGCGUGACGCAGCGACGCCGCGUGGGGAUGAAGGCCCUCGGGUUGUAAACCCCUUUCGCCAGGGAAGAAGGGAAACUGACGGUACC